rnacentral:tRNA from 1 species
GCCGCUGUAGCUCAGUGGUAGAGCACUCCCUUGGUAAGGGAGAGGUCAAGAGUCCGAUUCUCUUUAGCGGCACCA